UGGGGAAUAUUGCACAAUGGGCGAAAGCCUGAUGCAGCAACGCCGCGUGAGGGACGACGGCCUUCGGGUUGUAAACCUCUUUAGCAAGGAAGAAGCGAAAGUGACGGUACUUGCAGAAAAAGCGCCGGCUAACUACGUGCCAGCAGCCGCGGUAAUACGUAGGGCGCAAGCGUUAUCCGGAAUUAUUGGGCGUAAAGAGCUCGUAGGCGGUUUGUCGCGUCUGCUGUGAAAACCCGAGGCUCAACCUCGGGCCUGCAGUGGGUACGGGCAGACUAGAGUGCGGUAGGGGAGAUUGGAACUCCUGGUGUAGCGGUGGAAUGCGCAGAUAUCAGGAAGAACACCGAUGGCGAAGGCAGAUCUCUGGGCCGUAACUGACGCUGAGGAGCGAAAGGGUGGGGAGCAAACAGGCUUAGAUACCCUGGUAGUCCACCCGUAACGUUGGGAACUAGUUGUGGGGUCCAUUCCACGGAUUCCGUGACGCAGCUAACGCAUUAAGUUCCCCGCCUGGGGAGUACGGCCGCAAGGCUAAACU
rnacentral:rRNA from 1 species